GACGAACGCUGGCGGCGUGCUUAACACAUGCAAGUCGAACGAAGAGCGAUGGAAGCUUGCUUCUAUCAAUCUUAGUGGCGAACGGGUGAGUAACGCGUAAUCAACCUGCCCUUCAGAGGGGGACAACAGUUGGAAACGACUGCUAAUACCGCAUACGAUCUAAUCUCGGCAUCGAGGAAAGAUGAAAGGUGGCCUCUAUGUAUAAGCUAUCACUGAAGGAGGGGAUUGCGUCUGAUUAGCUAGUUGGAGGGGUAACGGCCCACCAAGGCGAUGAUCAGUAGCCGGUCUGAGAGGAUGAACGGCCACAUUGGGACUGAGACACGGCCCAGACUCCUACGGGAGGCAGCAGUGGGGAAUCUUCCGCAAUGGACGAAAGUCUGACGGAGCAACGCCGCCUGAGUGAAGACGGCCUUCGGGUUGUAAA
rnacentral:rRNA from 1 species